GAAGGGGGCGAGCGUUGUUCGGAUUUACUGGGCGUAAAGGGCGCGCAGGCGGCGGACCAAGUCAGGCGUGAAAGCCCCGGGCUUAACCUGGGAGGUGCGUCUGGGACUGGUCUGCUAGAGAUCGGGAGAGGAGAGUGGAAUUCCCAGUGUAGAGGUGAAAUUCGUAGAUAUUGGGAAGAACACCAGUGGCGAAGGCGGCUCUCUGGACCGAUACUGACGCUGAGGCGCGAAAGCGUGGGGAGCAAACAGGAUUAGAUACCCUGGUAGUCCACGCUGUAAACGAUGUGUGCUAGACGUUGGGGAGCCUAGCUCUUCGGUGUCGCAGCUAACGCUUUAAGCACACCGCCUGGGGAGUACGGCCGCAAGGCUG
rnacentral:rRNA from 1 species